UGGCUUAGAAGCAGCCAUCAUUUAAAGAGUGCGUAAUAGCUCACUAGUCGAGUGACACUGCGCCGAAAAUGUACCGGGGCUAAACAUAUUACCGAAGCUGUGGAUUGUCCUUUGGACAAUGGUAGGA
rnacentral:rRNA from 1 species